rnacentral:lncRNA from 1 species
AAACUCUCUGACAACUGGCACUGAGGCUGGCUCCCUGACCUGACUGACUAGUUCUCUCACAUGAGCUAAGUACCCCUGACAUCCCUUCCUAAGCAACCUACGAGCCUGAAGAGCUGAUAUCAGACCUCUAGGUGUGCCCCUCUUGUCUCCUCUGAACACGACCUCUGACCCGUCCUGAUCUCUGAACUUGACUACCUUGUCUCUGCAGUCCAAGGUAGCACCAUGGGUAGAUAGCCAAUCCAUCCCUAGAAUGACGUCAAAGUCUGUCA